CCUCAUUUAAGGGCUGACUGCCACUGGGGAAGGAGCUCUUUCUGGAGUUCUUUUUCUGGUGGUGCUUUCCCCCUGCAAACUUGGAAUCUUUUGAUACAGGACAACAGUCAUUUUUGAAGUACUGAAAGAUUUCUGGACUUCACUAUUUGGGGUUCUGAUUGAUGGCAAGUUGAUGAGACAGCAGUGUGCCUGGUAGCCGAAAGGGCCAACAGUACCUGGGGUGACCCAGACCCAACACUGCCAGCCAGG